rnacentral:rRNA from 1 species
CCUACGGGUAGCAGCAGUGAGGAAUAUUGGUCAAUGGGCGCGAGCCUGAACCAGCCAAGUAGCGUGAAGGAUGACUGCCCUACGGGUUGUAAACUUCUUUUAUAAAGGAAUAAAGUGUGGCACGUGUGCCUUUUUGUAUGUACUUUAUGAAUAAGGAUCGGCUAAUUCCGUGCCAGCCGCCGCGGUAAUACGGAGGAUACGAGCGUUAUCCGGAUUUAUUGGGGUUAAAGGGAGCGUAGAUGGGUUGGUAAGUCAGUUGUGAAAGUUUGCGGCUCAACCGUAAAAUUGCAAUUGAUACUGGCAGUCUUGAGUACAGUGGAGGUAGGCGGAAUUCGUGGUGUAGCGGUGAAAUGCUUAGAUAUCACGAAGAACUCCGAUUGCGAAGGCAGCUUACUAAACUGCCACUGACAUUGAUGCUCGAAAGUGUGGGUAUCAAACAGGAUUAGAUACCCCAGUAGUC